CCGCCGCUUCCUCGCCCUCUUCCUCUCCUUCUCUCUCUCGAGCCAUCGAAGCGUUAAGUUACCAAGAGGAGUGAAGAUGGCUUAUGCUAUGAAGCCGACGAAGCCGGGAUUGGAGGAACCUCAGGAGCAAUUUUAUUUUAAUUGUUUUGGUCGGGGUAUACAAAAGAAAGGAGCAAAGAUUGUGGUUAUUGGGCUUAGCAUGCACACAACUCCUGUGGAGAUGCGUGAGAAACUUGCCAUUCCCGAGGCAGAAUGGCCUUGAGCCAUUGGAGAACUCUGUAGUUUGAAUCAUAUAGAAGAAACGGUUGUAAUAUAAUGGAGAUAUAUGUUGUCGCUUUGUCUUAGCAUCGUGGGGUUAAAGAAGUGACUGAAUGGAUGUCUAAUGUGAUUUACUUUUGCUCCU